UAUAUAUAGUGGAUGAAGUAAAAAUUUUUAUUUUUUCUAUAUAAUAAUUAUAAUUUAAUAAAAUAAAUAAAUUAUAUAAUAACCCAUUGAAAUAAUAAUAUAUAUUUUAUUGUAUUAAAAUGGCAAAAGCAAAGCAUGGAUUACAUGAUCAUUGCGACACGAGUUUCAUCAGUGGUGCCAGGAAUGAAUCAGGCUCCCUCAUAUUUAUUUUUUCUGUUAAGGUGCAAUGGUCCGAUUCAUUGGAAUAGGUUUAGUUCAUUCGAAUAUUAAAGAGGUUUAACAUCUAAAUCAGACCAAAUUAGAUAUGGAUUCCUAAUUAAACUGGUUUUACUAACCGGUCCAAUCUGGACCUAGUUUGACAACACAGGUAGGUGGACCACUUCUAUAGAAAUGUCAACAGCAUACCUAAGGGGUAGGUCAAGCACCAUACUACAAAAUAGUUAUAAAUAGAAUGGAUCCUAGCUAUACUGCAAAAAUAAUCCACUUCUCCAUGACA
rnacentral:misc_RNA from 1 species